rnacentral:lncRNA from 1 species
AAACAAGUUUUCUCCUUCAUUGCUCAAUUAUCACUUUUAUUUUUUGUGGUCUUCAUUUUCAAUCAUGACCAGCCUGAAUAUGUAUUUAAAACUUUACAGAUACUAAAUCAGUUUUGGAAAAAGGAUCUUAUUUUAGUCCUGAAUGUUUGCCCUCUCUUGUUGCAGCAGUAAAAUUGAAGUCACAUACCAGGAGGCUGUUGCUUUAAACUGGCAAGAAUAGCUCAUCAGUGAAGACAGAAGAGGCAGCUUGGAUGGUCGAGAAUGAGCAGAAAGCAAAAUGUGGAUCAGCUGAUAAGGAAAAGAAGUAGAAAAAAAAUGUAGGUUUGCUAAAAUCAAUUUAUACCUCGUGAACACUAGUUCCAUCCAAUUGGAAAUAGAGAAGAUGGAGUUACAGUCGAAGUUGUUGAACUUUUACUAAUUAGACAAUAGAAAAUGUUGAUAUCUAAGAAGUGUAAUAAAUUAGUCUAGAAAAAGUUGGUAUUGUCCUUCAAAUUUUUCUUCAGUGAGAUCAAGUUCGUGAAGUAUUUGCAUUUUUGUUUCUGUGAACAUAUUUUUACUUUGUAAUCAAUGUUAAAUGCAUGAUAUCUUGUAAGAUUCUAUGCAAUGGAACAUAUCGUGUGAUUUUAGAUAUUUCUUGAUUUUGAAUUCUUGUUGGUGCAUUGUACUUGAAUUGGG